rnacentral:rRNA from 1 species
AACGUAGGUUCCGAGCGUUAUCCGGAUUUACUGGGCGUAAAGAGCGCGCAGGCGGUCGUGCAAGUCGCGUGUGAAAGCCCCCGGCUCAACUGGGGAGGGUCACGCGAUACUGCUCGACUCGAAGGCAGGAGAGGGAAGUGGAAUUCCCGGUGUAGUGGUGAAAUGCGUAGAUAUCGGGAGGAACACCAGUGGCGAAGGCGACUUCCUGGCCUGUUCUUGACGCUGAGGCGCGAAAGCUAGGGUAGCAAACGGG